GGCGAUGCCCAUCGGGUGUCGAACUGAUUGAUCUGCUAGUUGUAAGUACAUUGAUGUUGGUUCUAGGAUUGCAUGUUCAAGCUUCUUGUAGACUGAUGCUGGCAUCACACUGACGCUUGCUACGAGAUCACAAAGUGCAUUAUUGAAGUGUUGGUUUCCGAUCGAGCAAUCGAUGGUGGGACAUCCUGGAUCCUUCUUCUUCUUCUUCG
rnacentral:lncRNA from 1 species